rnacentral:misc_RNA from 1 species
UCUCCGUAGGUGAACCUGCGGAGGGAUCAUUACAGAGUUCAUGCCCUACCGGGUAGAUCUCCCACCCUAUGUUAUUAUUACUUUGUUACUUUGGCGGGCCGUUAGGCUCCGGCCCGACUACCGGCCCCGGCUGGUAAGCGCCCGCCAGAGGACCCAAAACCCUGAAUAUUAGUGUCGUCUGAGUACUAUAUAAUAGUUAAAACUUUCAACAACGGAUCUCUUGGUUCUG